UACAGGGGGUGCAAACGUUGCUCGGAAUCAUUGGGCGUAAAGCGCGUGUAGGCGGUUCCGUAAGUCCGCUCUGAAAGCCCAGGGCUCAACCCUGGGAGGCGGGUGGAUACUACGGAACUGGAGUACGGAAGAGGAGAUUGGAAUUCCUGGUGUAGCGGUGAAAUGCGCAGAUAUCAGGAGGAACACCAACAGCGAAGGCAGAUCUCUGGGACGUUACUGACGCUGAGGAGCGAAAGCAUGGGGAGCGAACAGG
rnacentral:rRNA from 1 species